CAGGUUGGUGUGUAGUCUCAGUUAUCUGAAAUGCAUCUUAGUAAUGGAGAAGAUCAAGGAGCCUGUGGUACAGGACUUGGAGUUCUAAUAACUCCUAUGAUCAAAGUUCUUGAUGAAAUGUAUAUGCACAAGAUGACCUAAUCAAGGAAAUACGAAACCAUGAUAAUGCAAAUAAAGAAUGGAAAGAUGAAGAGCAUAAGAAAUUAUUUGAAACCCAAGAGUGGUUGUUGGAUCUUGUUU